rnacentral:rRNA from 1 species
GACGAACGCUGGCGGCGUGCUUAACACAUGCAAGUCGAACGGAAAGGCCCUGCUUUUGUGGGGUGCUCGAGUGGCGAACGGGUGAGUAACACGUGAGUAACCUGCCCUUGACUUUGGGAUAACUUCAGGAAACUGGGGUUAAGACCGGAUAGGAGCCCCUGCUGCAUGGUGGGGGUUGGAAAGUUUCGGCGGUUGGGGAUGGACUAGCGGCUUAUCAGCUUGUUGGUGGGGUAGUGGAUUACCAAGGCUUUGACGGGUAGCCGGCCUGGGAGGGUGACCGGCCACAUUGGGCCUGAGGUACGGCCCAGACGCCUACGGGAGGCAGCAGUGGGGAAUAUUGCACAAUGGGCGGAAGCCUGAUGCAGCAACGCUGCGUGCGGGAUGACGGCUUUCGGGUUGUAAACCGCUUUCGCCUGUGACGAAGCGUGAGUGACGGUACUGGGUAAAGAAGCACCGGCUAACUACGUG